CCAGCAUGGUGUAGUGGUUUGAGUGUUGGACUGUGACUCUGGAGGCCAGGGUUCGAAUCCCAGCUUGGA
rnacentral:tRNA from 1 species